UGGGAGGAUGAGUCAGGAAAGAGAGAAUAAAGUGGCAUUGGUCUGGAAGUACAGGAGAGGAAAAGAGUGGGAGACAUAGAAGCUAAAUGAGGAGAUGUAAAAUCCAAGAAUGAUGGUCAUAAAACUGGAGAAUUGGGUGGAGCUGAGAGUCAGCGGCCUCAGAGAACUGGAGCAGCUGAGAGACUAUCCUGCCCAAAAAGGCAAGACAAGCUUCUUGAGUGGCUGGCCUAUACUAAGAAGGGUUUGCUGAAGGUUUCUAGGAAAGUUCACCACUUGAAAAAGAGUAGUUGAAAGCCAUUCUUUUUCUCUCACCACACUGGGGAAGCAUGUAAAGUUGACUGCUGCAGACAGCCUUCUUCUAACUUUGGAUGAAGAAGGGGUUGGAUCUCAUGACAUCACUGCAACACUGGAUAAACCAGUCCUGAUGUCUGCCCUUCCUCUGGAUUUAAGUUUGAAUAAUAAACCUUCCACACUUGCUCGCUCAUCUUGUUGCCUCCUGUUUGUCUCACUUCCUCAUACCUGUUUUUGGUGCCUCAGCCUGUCCCCUGCACACUGACAUUUUAUUUGCACUGUCUGUUUGGAUUUAUACUUCAGUUUUCCAGCAGAUACUGAC